AAAAAAAAUCAAAUAUCGAUCCAAGAAUAGUGUCUAGUGCAUAGUUACAAUAACCAUUUUGUACAAAUGAAAAUCCACUAAAUUGGUUGGCUGCUGAGAGACAGAUGCAAUAUUUUCAAACAUAUAUGACAUAGUUUAUAAUAUGAGUAUAGUAAAAUAAUCUAAAUAUUCUAAAAAAUUAACAUAGAAGGAUGUUGAGCGCGCGAUUAGAACAAACGACGUUUGUG